AAGAGAAAAGAAAAGAAAAAAAAAUCUUGGAGUUAAAUCCUUGGUUCAAAAAUCCAUUUCUUGUGGGAUUAUUACUAAGUGCAAGAUUCUCUACAACUUGGUACAAUUAUUUUGGCAAGAAACUAUCUUUGGUAGCAAGGAGAAUUUGUUGGUAAAAAGAUUCUGGACGAGAUUGGAAUCGAAGCCAAGCGAGCGUAAGGCGCAAUCGAGGUACAGACGCACCUGAAGAUACGCCGCCAGUCUAGGGCUCAGAUUCUGCUAUUUUGAAGAGCUCCUUUGGUCCGGAGCGUGUACUUUUGGUAUAUAUCUUCUGUCUUCUGUAUAUUCUGUAU